AGUGAACGCUGGCGGUAGGCCUAACACAUGCAAGUCGAACGGCAGCACAGUAAGAGCUUGCUCUUACGGGUGGCGAGUGGCGGACGGGUGAGGAAUACAUCGGAAUCUACUUUUUCGUGGGGGAUAACGUAGGGAAACUUACGCUAAUACCGCAUACGACCUACGGGUGAAAGCAGGGGAUCUUCGGACCUUGCGCGAUUGAAUGAGCCGACGUCGGAUUAGCUAGUCGGCGGGGUAAAGGCCCACCAAGGCGACGAUCCGUAGCUGGUCUGAGAGGAUGAUCAGCCACACUGGAACUGAGACACGGUCCAGACUCCUACGGGAGGCAGCAGUGGGGAAUAUUGGACAAUGGGCGCAAGCCUGAUCCAGCCAUACCGCGUGGGUGAAGAAGGCCUUCGGGUUGUAAAGCCCUUUUGUUGGGAAAGAAAAGCAGCAGGUUAAUACCCCGCUGUUCUGACGGUACCCAAAGAAUAAGCACCGGCUAACUUCGUG
rnacentral:rRNA from 1 species